CAAUGGGCAAGAGGUAUGCACAGAGAGCCACGGGAGUGGGCAGGGCCAGUUCAGGAAGGAAUCCCAGAGGCUUUUUGUCCCAAAGCCUACGCAUUCGUGCUGCUCUGACUUAAUGCAGUGCUCAGCUGUGCUGCAGAGUAACGACAAAGGCUGGGAGGAGAGGAAGUGGCUCACAGGCAGCUGAAGGUGUCAUUUUAAACAACGUGCUCUAAGUUAGCCUCAGAUGAGACUCUAGGAGAAGGCAUGGUGUUUCUUCUUGAUUGUCACUGUAUCCCAGGGGUACACGCACCCCAACCAGAGGCUUUGGAGGGUGUGCUUCCUGCCACCCUCAAGGGAGUUGUCUCUGUCAAGCUAACGGAUCCCGAGUUCCGGGGUGCCAGGCCGUAGUCUGCUUCAUUUUUAUCUGCACAAUAACCCGUGAGCCCAUACCAUCACCCCAUUUCACAGCUGAAGAAAUGGAUGCCCAGACAGGAUAAGUAGUUUGUACUAGAGGAUAACUACCUGGCUAACAAACCAACUAGUUAACUGGUUGGCCAGGAUUCAAAAUCUGACCCGCUUCAGAAUCGGGACUCGGACCACAGCGUGGCUUCAGAGAGCUCCUUCACCUGUGCUGGGCGUGCGUUGCCGUCGGGGAUGCGGCGGUGGUUAGCACACGUUCUCUUCACUCCCUGAACACAGAGGCUAGAGAACAGACCUGCAGACACACAGUGCCAGUGCUUGGCAGACACAAUCCUGGACGUCUGUGCUGUUAGGAACCGUCUGACGGGCGCCAGCAUCAGGCCUCGCUGCACACGGGCCUUGGAGCAAGCACAGCACCUGCUCAACAGCCAGCUCUGAGCACGGACCCUGCUUCCACCCUUCAGACAAACCAGCCACCAAGAGGCAUUUCUGGUCAUCAUCGAGCAUGACUCACCUUCAGCACCGGCUGAGCGAGGCCCAGAAGAUGACCAACUCCGUGGGGACCUGAGGUCAGGAGGCAAACGUGCAAGAGAUGUUCCUCAGGACUCAAACUCCUGGGCUCAGGUGAUCCUCCUGACUCAGCCCCAGAGUAGCUGGGACUACAGGCAUACACCAUCACCCUUGGCUUGGGAAUCUUGAGGGGAAAUGAACUAGCCCAGGCCUUCUGGGAGCCAGAGGAGGUCAUGACAGACAGCAGGAGGCCGGGAGGCUCCCAGUCAUGACAGACAGCAGGAGGCCGGGAGGCUCCCGGUCAUGACAGACAGCAGGAGGCCGGGAGGCUCCCGGUCAUGACAGACAGCAGGAGGCCGGGAGGCUCCCGGUCAUGACAGACAGCAGGAGGCCGGGAGGCUCCCGGUCAUGACAGACAGCAGGAGGCCAGGAGACUCCCAGGAGGAAAGUCUGGCACGCUGUCCCUCCCAGACCACAGCGGCUCUCCAGGCCCUGUAGUGGGACAGCCUCUCACCAUCCCCCUGGCCUUGGAGUUUCUGUACAUCCUGUGCCCUGCAGGCCAGGGUGCUCUUGCCCACGUGUCAGCCCAGGCCACCCAGUGCAGACCCAGGAAAUCUUCCAGACCUGUGGGAGCCCCUCAUCCCCACCCUGUGUGCACUAUGCACCUGGGGCACACCCAGGGCACCUUCCCAAGUGCUGACUAUGUCCGGGCACCUGGGCUGCGCCAUCUCACCCUCACAGCCACCCUUGAGGCAGGUGCCCUGAUUCUUAUCCCUGUCCACAGCUGAGAGAAGCCAAGCUCAGGGAACUGGGUCGCAGAGCAGCGGCAGGGGCUGCAUCAGGUCUGUCUGUGUCGCCUCGACAAGCGCAAUGUCCCGUCAGGGCAGCUUCUGAAGCGGGCCUGCCCUGCCUGCCGGUCUCUGAGACAAGCUCCCUGGGACCGGGCUGGAGCCGGUUGGUCUUUGUGGUGUCCAGGGACUACCUUGCGUGCAGGGCAAGGUUAACCAGGUCCCUGCCAAGACUGCGGCUCACAUGUGGCAUCCCUACCCAGCCCACUGCCCUGCAGGAGUGGCUCCACUUGGCACUGAACUGGAGUAGGCUGUACAGUUCUGUCCCAGGCCAGGAGGGGAGGGCCUGAGGCCAGGUGCAAUUCCCCAGGGCUGGUCCUCACAGGUCCUCCCAUGGUGUUAGCAGGGCCCCAAGGCCCCCACCCAGGCCCGAGGCCUCCUUGCUGUUCCAUCCGGCCCCAGGGUGCAAGCGCUGCCAUUUGGCACUUACAUAAAGCAUUCAGCAGGCACUCAGCCUGGGCAGGGCCGGGGAGUGGGAGGCAGCUCCUAACAUCUGGAGAACAUCACCUCCCUGUCCUACAUGCUGGAGAUAAUACAGCUUGUUUGUCUGGGGAGAUGCACCUUCCUGGCUGUGCCCAGAGCCGACGGGGCUUUUAUGCAAUCGAGUGUUUUCAGUGAUGACCCUGGAGAGCCACCCCACUUUGGGGGUGAAGGAGGGCCCACACUCGAAUAUUUUCUAUAUUGUAAGUUAUUUAAUCCCUCUGGAGUGGAUCUCUCCCAGUGAUGUGAAAUAAACCAGCUUUCUCUCUUGAGAGUUGUCCAAACCCUAUGUACAGAGUAGUCUACCUUUUCCCCCACGGAUCUGCAGAGCCAGCUCUUUGUGGGUCAAGUUCUUUAAGAGUUUAGGUUUGAUCCUAAAAGUAGCAGAGACCAGUAA
rnacentral:lncRNA from 10 species